AUUGAACGCUGGCGGCAUGCCUUACACAUGCCAGUCGAACGGUAACAGGUUAAGCUGACGAGUGGCGAACGGGUGAGUAAUGUAUCGGAACGUGCCCAGUCGUGGGGGAUAACUGCUCGAAAGAGCAGCUAAUACCGCAUACGACCUGAGGGUGAAAGCGGGGGAUCGCAAGACCUCGCGCGAUUGGAGCGGCCGAUAUCAGAUUAGGUAGUUGGUGAGGUAAAGGCUCACCAAGCCGACGAUCUGUAGCUGGUCUGAGAGGACGACCAGCCACACUGGGACUGAGACACGGCCCAGACUCCUACGGGAGGCAGCAGUGGGGAAUUUUGGACAAUGGGCGCAAGCCUGAUCCAGCCAUGCCGCGUGCGGGAAGAAGGCCUUCGGGUUGUAAACCGCUUUUGUCAGGGAAGAAAAGGUUCUGGCUAAUACCUGGGACUCAUGACGGUGCCUGAAGAAUAAGCACCGGCUAACUACGUG
rnacentral:rRNA from 1 species